UACAGAGGGUGCAAGCGUUGUUCGGAAUCACUGGGCGUAAAGGGCGCGUAGGCGGGAUGGCAAGUCAGUCGUGAAAUCUCUCGGCUCAACCGAGAAACGUCGGCUGAUACUGCCGUUCUUGAGGGAUGCAGAGGAGACUGGAAUUCCCGGUGUAGCGGUGAAAUGUGUAGAUAUCUGGAGGAACACCGGUGGCGAAGGCGGCAUCCUGGACCGGCAUUGACGCUGAUGAGCGAAAGCUAGGGGAGCAAACGGG
rnacentral:rRNA from 1 species